CCUACGGGAGGCUGCAGUGGGGAAUAUUGCACAAUGGGCGAAAGCCUGAUGCAGCAACGCCGCGUGAAGGAAGAAGGGUUUCGGCUCGUAAACUUCCAUCAACAGGGACGAAAGAAAUGACGGUACCUGAAUAAGAAGCCCAGGCUAACUACGUGCCAGCAGCCGCGGGAAUACGUAGGGGGCAAGCGUUAUCCGGAAUUCCUGGGUGUAAAGGGUGAGUAGGGGGGAUGGUAAGCCAGAUGUGAAAGCCUUGGGCUUAACCCGAGUAUGGCAUUUGGAACUAUCAAGCUAGAGUACAGGAGAGGAGAGCGGAAUUCGUGGUGUAGCGGUGAAAUGCGUAGAUAUUAGGAAGAACACCAGUGGCGAAGGCAGCUUUCUGGACUGAAACUGACGCUGAGGCACGAAAGCGUGGGGAGCGAACAGGAUUAGAUACCCUGGUAGUC
rnacentral:rRNA from 1 species